rnacentral:rRNA from 1 species
GACGGAGGGGGCAAGCGUUGUCCGGAUUUAUUGGGCGUGAAGCGCGCGUAGGCGGUCCGUUAAGUCGGCUGUGAAAGUGCUGGGCUCAACCCAGCAAUGUCAGUCGAUACUGGCGGACUCGAGUCCGAUAGAGGGAAGUGGAAUUGCUGGUGUAGCGGUGGAAUGCGUAGAGAUCAGCAAGAACACCAGUGGCGAAGGCGGCUUCCUGGGUCGGUACUGACGCUGAGGCGCGAAAGCUAGGGGAGCGAACCGGAUUAGAUACCCCCGUA